CCCUGAUGGGAGGGAGCCCAUUGACCCCGGGAUAAUAGAUGAAAGUGUUUUCUCACUUGCCUUCCCCUCCUGACCCCUUGCCACCAUUUUUCAUGCACUGUCUCCUCUUCAGCCAGACGGAGGAAUUCUUCCUCUGAUGAUGAAGGCCCAAUGACCCUCUCCCGCAUCCCGUAAGCUGGCUGCUUGCGGAGGAUUGCCCAAAGGGGUCCCUGCAUAAUGCAACUAAACCAAGCAAGGGUCACUUCCUUUCCACCCCCGCUUCUACGUGUGCACACAUCAACUCACACCCCAAAGCACAGGAGCAGUGCUUGUAAAAAAUUCAAAUUAGUGCAUUUAUUCAUUUGCUUGUUUGUUUGCUUGUCCAGUGUGUUUGACCUCUUGGUGAAUCCACCCAAGACAAAAUGAGUUCCCAAUUCAAUGCCCAAAGUCUUCCCCAUCCCCACUGUCUUCUCAAAAGGGCCAGGUCACCAAGCACAUGGGGGCAGCAGAGCAAGUUGCAAAGUCUAUCCAGUGGAUGGCACAACUGCAAGGACCAUGGAUCAUCCAGCAAAGCCCAGGCUUGGUCUUACCAUUUGCUCCCUGAAUCUGUCAUGCAAUCAACAUGCUGGGUUGCUGGUGAGUACAAGAAAAUUAGGAUGACUGCGGAACAGACCUGAACCUACCUGAAGCCUCAGAGACGAGCUCAGCCUCGCCUCAGCCUGAAGCAGAACAGUCCUGGCUGACCCACAGGUAGACUGCAGAGAAAGAAAAAUAAAUGGUCUGUUGCAUUUGUUAUAGG